rnacentral:lncRNA from 1 species
CCCACGUGAGAAUCCUGUCUUUGGACGCUUUCCUAUGGUACAGUUUAAUGUACACGUGCCACGUGGACCAUCACAGCCAUAAGUGUGUGACUCCAUACCAAGGACCGCAUGUCACUCAGCACAGGUGACCACAUACCCAAGCAGUGUGUCCUCUGGAAGAUAAAGACAGUUAAAGAGACUUUCAGGAAACACAUGCUGGGUUUCUCUUUCGUGAGAGAUUUACAAAACAGCAUGAAGAAACUGGCACUCACUCUUCCUCACAGCAGGAGCUGGAACUACAGAUGCAGACCACCACCUCCAUCGUUUUUACAUGAGUUCCUGGUAUCCGGCUGACACAGCAAAUGCUUUUUACCCACUGAGCCAUCACCCUGCCCACCAGCCACCUCUUAAGGUUCUCAGUGUGAUUGCUCAGUGCUGGCCAGGGUGACAGGCCCUGGUGCAAACAGCUGUACAAAUAGUGAGAGACUCUAUGGAGAAUGUGACAGUGCCCGAGCUCUUCCCUUGACCGAAGAUCCAGGUGACACAAGCUUUGUCCCUGUGGAUGCAGAUGAAAGUAUGCAGAAGAGCUGAGUGAAUCUACCACUUAGGAAUCCUAGAUUGCUGCACAGUUGGCCCUAGACGAAAGCUUCACAGUGUGAACCAACAAGAGUGGAAAGAGUUACACUCAGCCCGCUGUCUCCAGCACGUUCCAAGCAGCGGCUGAGCAACAAUUUAUCACCACUGAAGUCCGG